UACGGGGGGGGGCAAGCGUUGUCCGGAUUUACUGGGCGUAAAGAGCGCGCAGGCGGUCGAUCAAGUCGAGUGUGAAAGCCCCCGGCUCAACUGGGGAGGGUCACGCGAUACUGCUCGACUCGAAGGCAGGAGAGGGAAGUGGAAUUCCCGGUGUAGUGGUGAAAUGCGUAGAUAUCGGGAGGAACACCAGUGGCGAAGGCGACUUCCUGGCCUGUUCUUGACGCUGAGGCGCGAAAGCUAGGGUAGCAAACGGG
rnacentral:rRNA from 1 species